ACGUCCCCUCACCUGCAAGAUGGAGAACUCCCAGCUCCUUCUCCUGCACCACAUCUGCCCGCACACCUCCAUGUCCCACCAUGACGAUGACAACUGAGCCUCUGAACUGUAAACAUAUACGCACCAAGAAAGCUGUGGGAUGAAGAGAAACUUCUAUUGCUGAUAGCUCCCAGCUGGGACGGGCAGAGUGUCCCCUGGACUACUAAGGUGUGGAGAAUAAAGGACAGACGCACACAUGGUGUCAUGGAUGUGAUGCUGUAAGAAGCUGGAGAGGAAGAGGGAGGUCCCGUGGAGCCGCUGGGGCAAAGUCCAAGCCAGCUCGCCAAAGGGGGCCAGUCUUUUCCAGCCAACCCGAGCACCUGAAGAGCAAUAGAACCCUUGCAGUUCGUCUGGGAUUGGCAGCGUAGCGUGGACUGUGGCACUAGAGUCCCUGAGACCGUCCUUGGCAUAGCGGGACAAGGAAAUGAUUCCUCCCGGGCUGGACUGGGCCUGGAGAACCUCCCUGAUGCUGGGUGUUACCCUGCGGCAGCUCCUGCCUACAACCUGGAAAGGUACCAUAAAAACAGAUGAAAGCCAGAGGUUCUGGGCAGCGAUUUAAGGAAACAACUU